rnacentral:rRNA from 1 species
UACGGGGGGUGCAAGCGUUGUCCGGAUUUAUUGGGUUUAAAGGGUGCGCAGGCGGUUCGUUAAGUCAGAUGUGAAAGCCCCGGGCUCAACCUGGGAACUGCAUUUGAAACUGGCGGGCUUGAGUGUGGCAGAGGGGGGUGGAAUUCCGCGUGUAGCAGUGAAAUGCGUAGAGAUGCGGAGGAACACCGAUGGCGAAGGCAGCCCCCUGGGCCAACACUGACGCUCAGGCACGAAAGCGUGGGGAGCAAACAGG